rnacentral:lncRNA from 1 species
GUGCUUGAGUUGGUAAAGAAGUGGAUGAUCAUAGUGCUUGAGUUUGGUGAAGAAGUGGAUGAUCAUUUCAAUGCUUAAUUUAUAACAAUUUUGUAGUUCUAAGCUAAAAUAAAGAAAAAGUUCUAUGUAUAUGAUUGGCUAUUACGUGUGUCAUUUAAGAAUAGUACUUGAUUGGUAGAUUACCACCGAAUAUUCCAUGUUUGAAGGCGUAUUAACUCGGGUCAACAAAACAAAAAAAUAAAACUAACAACGCACAACCAACAACAAAAGUCAACAGAAAACAAACAUCCGAAAAUCAAUCGACACGUUUAGUUAGUUUGCCGUUCCCACGAUUCGUCGGAGAGAUCUCAUCACUUGUCGACCCUAACCAAAUGGCCUCAGCAGUAAAUCAAAACAACCAGUUUAUUUGUUGAAUAUUUUUAUAAAGUUAAAAAGAAGUGUUAAAAAUGAGAGCCGCUGACUUAUCCAUUUUACCAUAUUUGGGGAAACGAAUCAACGGACCCGAUCAGACGGUAGCAACUUGUUUCUUGUGUUGAUAAGGAUAAUAUGGAAAAUACUCGGUUUCUUUCGGAACAUCCCGAGAACUUCUCCAAGUGUGUCGUAUUGACGUCAUCAGACCGUUUUUCUGAUUAUCCAUCCAUAUG